rnacentral:rRNA from 1 species
AGAGUUUGAUCAUGGCUCAGGAUGAACGCUGGCGGUAUGCCUAACACAUGCAAGUCGAACGAUGUCUUCGGACAUAGUGGCGGACGGGUGAGUAACGCGUGAGAAUCUGCCUCUAGGAUGGGGAUAACGGUUGGAAACGACCGCUAACACCCAAUAUGCCGUAAGGUGAAAAAUUUAUUGCCUGGAGAGGAGCUCGCGUCUGAUUAGCUAGUUGGUGGGGUAAGAGCUCACCAAGGCCUCGAUCAGUAGCUGGUCUGAGAGGAUGAGCAGCCACACUGGGACUGAGACACGGCCCAGACUCCUACGGGAGGCAGCAGUGGGGAAUUUUCCGCAAUGGGCGAAAGCCUGACGGAGCAAUACCGCGUGAGGGAGGAAUGCCUUUGGGUUGUAAACCUCUUUUCUCAGGGAAGAAGAUCUGACGGUACCUGAGGAAUAAGUAUCGGCUAACUCCGUGCCAGCAGCCGCGGUAAUACGGAGGAUGCAAGCGUUAUCCGGAAUCAUUGGGCGUAAAGCGUCCGCAGGUGGUUUCCAAAGUCUGCUGUUAAAGACUGGAGCUCAACUCCGGAACGGCGGUGGAAACUUGGAAACUAGAGUUCGGUAGGGGUAGCAGGAAUUCCCAGUGUAGCGGUGAAAUGCGUAGAUAUUGGGAAGAACAUCGGUGGCGAAGGCGUGCUACUGGACCGUAACUGACACUCAGGGACGAAAGCUAGGGGAGCGAAAGGGAUUAGAUACCCCUGUAGUCCUAGCUGUAAACGAUGGAAACUAGGUGUGGCUUG